AAAGGUGCCUGAACCAGCUCAGAGCUAGGAGCCUAAGAAUCCAUCCCCAUCCAGGGCCAGACCACGGGGAAGGAAGAUCCAACACCAAUGGCAACAAGGAAGGAGCCCACAGCAGCCUGUCCACCGUGAGCAGGACCCUGGAGAACCUGAAGCCGGGGACCCGGCGGGCUGAGGAAUGCUGAGGCAAAGUCUGAGGGGCUGCCCCUGCCCUGCCCUCCCAUCCUGCCUGCUGCCCCUAUCUCAGUGCCCUCCUGGGUUAGAAGACCCAAACCGGAGACAAGCCAGGCCCUGCAGACCCCAGAGCGGCUGGAAACAGUGUCUUGAAUGGGGCCUUUUGCACUCGCCCAGCCAAGCCUCUCCAAAAUGGAUUCCACUGGUGUGGGCUGGGGCCUGGAGCAAGGUAUCGCCCGACGCCCCAACAGGGUUCCCAUGUUUCAGGCUCCUGCCCUGGCCUUUCUUUCUGGACUGCAGCUCAGCUUUGUUGCCUGUUUGAUCUACUGAUUUUUCUCUGGAAUUUGGGGUCCAAGGCCCUGACUAUGACCAGGAUGCCCCAGUCCCUUG
rnacentral:sRNA from 1 species